rfam:Oscillatoriales cyanobacterium 'hensonii' Contig_21, whole genome shotgun sequence.
GUUUCCGUCCCCUUGCGGGGAAGAGAUAAGGAAUGAC